CGGGGCAGAUUAAGGGACUCAGCUGCUUGCCUGUCGGUGGGAAGCAGCACGCAGGCAUGUGGCUGGUGGCGACCCUACACACUGAAUGGAGGACUCGGGUUUUCCAGUGAUAGAAGCCUGCCAAUAACUGGCAUCGGCUAAGCAGACCCAUGCACAGGAUCAUUCAUGGCAAAGUUUAUUUUAGCUGUGAAAGGCAGGAACUUUACU